rnacentral:rRNA from 1 species
UGGGGAAUUUUGGACAAUGGGGGAAACCCUGAUUCAGCCAUCCCGCGUGUGCGAUGAAGGCCUUCGGGUUGUAAAGCACUUUUGGCAGGAAAGAAACGUCAUGGGUUAAUACCCCGUGAAACUGACGGUACCUGCAGAAUAAGCACCGGCUAACUACGUGCCAGCAGCCGCGGUAAUACGUAGGGUGCAAGCGUUAAUCGGAAUUACUGGGCGUAAAGCGUGCGCAGGCGGUUCGGAAAGAAAGAUGUGAAAUCCCAGAGCUCAACGUUGGAACUGCAUUUUUAACUACCGGGCUAGAGUGUGUCAGAGGGAGGUGGAAUUCCGCGUGUAGCAGUGAAAUGCGUAGAUAUGCGGAGGAACACCGAUGGCGAAGGCAGCCUCCUGGGAUAACACUGACGCUCAUGCACGAAAGCGUGGGGAGCAAACAGG